rnacentral:rRNA from 1 species
GACGAACGCUGGCGGCGUGCUUAACACAUGCAAGUCGAACGGAAAGGCCCUGCUUGCAGGGUACUCGAGUGGCGAACGGGUGAGUAACACGUGGGUGAUCUGCCCUGCACUUCGGGAUAAGCCUGGGAAACUGGGUCUAAUACCGGAUAGGAGCCAUUUUUAGUGUGAUGGUUGGAAAGUUUUUUUCGGUGUAGGAUGAGCUCGCGGCCUAUCAGCUUGUUGGUGGGGUAAUGGCCUACCAAGGCGGCGACGGGUAGCCGGCCUGAGAGGGUGGACGGCCACAUUGGGACUGAGAUACGGCCCAGACUCCUACGGGAGGCAGCAGUGGGGAAUAUUGCACAAUGGGCGCAAGCCUGAUGCAGCGACGCCGCGUGGGGGAUGACGGCCUUCGGGUUGUAAACUCCUUUCGCUAGGGGCGAAGCUUUUUGUGACGGUACCUAGAUAAGAAGCACCGGCUAACUACGUG